rnacentral:rRNA from 1 species
GUGGGGAAUAUUGGACAAUGGGGGGAACCCUGAUCCAGCCAUGCCGCGUGUGUGAAGAAGGCCUUUUGGUUGUAAAGCACUUUAAGCGAGGAGGAGGCUACCGAGAUUAAUACUCUUGGAUAGUGGACGUUACUCGCAGAAUAAGCACCGGCUAACUCUGUGCCAGCAGCCGCGGUAAUACAGAGGGUGCAAGCGUUAAUCGGAUUUACUGGGCGUAAAGCGCGCGUAGGUGGCAAAUUAAGUCAAAUGUGAAAUCCCCGAGCUUAACUUGGGAAUUGCAUGCGAUACUGGUUGGCUAGAGUAGUGGAGAGGAUGGUAGGAUUACAGGUGUAGCGGUGAGAUGCGUAGAGAUCUGGAGUAAUACCGAUGGCAAAGGCAGCCAUCUGGCCUAAUACUGACACUGAGGUGCGAAAGCAUGGGGAGCAAACAGGAUUAGAAACCCCGGUAGUCC